GACGAACGCUGGCGGCGUGCUUAACACAUGCAAGUCGAACGGAAAGGCCCUGCUUUUGUGGGGUGCUCGAGUGGCGAACGGGUGAGUAACACGUGAGUAACCUGCCCUUGACUUUGGGAUAACUUCAGGAAACUGGGGCUAAUACCGGAUAGGAGCUCCUGCUGCAUGGUGGGGGUUGGAAAGUUUCGGCGGUUGGGGAUGGACUCGCGGCUUAUCAGCUUGUUGGCGGGGUAGUGGCUUACCAAGGCUUUGACGGGUAGCCGGCCUGGGAGGGUGACCGGCCACAUUGGGACUGCGAUACGGCCCAGACUCCAACGGGAGGCAGCGGUGGGGAAUAUUGCACAAUGGGCGGAAGCCUGAUGCAGCAACGCCGCGUGCGGGAUGACGGCCUUCGGGUUGUAAACCGCUUUCGCCUGUGACGAAGCGUGAGUGACGGUAAUGGGUAAAGAAGCACCGGCUAACUACGUG
rnacentral:rRNA from 1 species